GGGAUAUGGCUCAGUUGGUAGAGCGAUACGUUCGCAUCGUAUAGGUCAGGGGUUCGAAUCCCCUUAUCUCC
rnacentral:tRNA from 1 species